rnacentral:lncRNA from 1 species
CUGCUUUCUUCCAUAGCUGAAAUGAAAUCCGUGCGCUCGUCGCUGCUUCUGCUCAGUCCGGCUCCUCUGGUGCUGGGCUGGGAGAUCUGAAGGGCAUUUGGAUGGCAAAGCAUGCUUGUGUUAUGGUGCAGCAGAGAAAGCCUUCCUUCUGAGGGCCUUGGAACAGGCUGCGGCUCUGCCCCCAGCACUGAGAACCACCCAGAUUCUGAGUAGCUUUGCUGCAGUCACCUGUAACUUAAUUUGACUGACUGACAUAGGCCAGGGACUCUAAGUCCUGUGUCUACUGCUAUUUCCCACCUUUUCCUCCCUAGGUGGGAGUUUUGCCUUGUGACUUCAAGGCUGUAUGGAUUUUAUUAACCCCAAGCUGCUUUUGUUUUUUCCAUCUCCCACAAGUUUCUAUUUCUAAGGUUGUGGCUGAUGUGAACACCUCCCCCUGUUCACCCCAGCCUGAAUUAAUUGGCUUAAUUUAAAAUUCGAACAGGUGGCUUCAGUUGGUGCCUGUAGCAGGCAGGGGGCUUUCAGUGGUCACCAGCUGGUGACCUGUCAGGACAGUGUGUCCUUAUGUCCUUUCCCAGUGCAUGUUGUCCCCACUCAGCCUUGGUGCCAUGAGGCUCAAGGCCGGCUCUCCUUGGGAAACCUGCUGCCUCAGUAGUGACCACGUGGCUGUUCCAGUUCACUGUCAAAGCGGCUGAAGCAACCUGGUGGAGCUGUGGGCCUGCUGUGAUCACUGACUCAGCUUUCAUUUGGAGGAAGGAGAAGUUUCACAGCUGUGAGGAAACAGUUACAGAGACAAAGCUUGCUGAAAUGAAAACGAACUAAUUACCAUGGAACAUGGUUUUUCUACAAGUCAUUUGGGUGCGAGAGUUAACCAGCUCUUGGCUUUGGGGCCUCUGGUUCUUGCGGCUUUCUGACAGUGUUUUGUGGAGUGAGUGGAUAACCCGUCCUGAAGCCACUUCAGAUGAGCAGGUACAACAAAAGGAAAAAAUGAAGGCCUAGUCUUCUUGGAGGCUAAAUGUCUUGGUGUUCAGUGCUCUGUUGGUAUUAAAUAUGUCUGUCUGCCCUCAAGCCAGCUGUGGUCCCAGAGCUACCUGCCUGAAAGGCUCCUGCCAAAUUGAAAUUGGCAACAACUUCCCCAACAUGUGGACAGGAACUCAUUGCUUAUUUUUCCUGAUGGAUUUUUCUUUUAUUAAAUUGGAUAUGUAAUGAUAAAUAGAAUAUAUUCUGUUUGAGAGGUGGGCGGGAAGUGGGGAAAAUGACUCCAGGAUCUAGGGAUCCUGAAAGGGGCUAUAUUGGAAAGUGUAUUUCCCUUUCCAGGGAUUGAAUUUCUUCCUGCAGCGUGAGCACACGAGUUCACAGAAUCACAGAAUCGUCUAGGUUGGAAGAGACCUCCAAGAUNNNNNNNNNNNNNNNNNNNNGAACCAUAUCACUAAGUUCAACAUCUAAAUGUCUUUUAAAGCCCUCCAGGGAUGGUGACUCAACCACUUCCCUGGGCAGCCCAUUCCAAUGCCUAACAACCCUUUUGGUAAAGAAGCUCUUCCUAAUAUCCAACCUAAACCUCCCCUAGUGCAACUUCAGCCCAUUCCCCCUCAUCCUGUCACCAGGCACGUGGGAGAAUAGACCAACCCCCACCUCUUUACAGCCUCCUUUAAGGUACCUAUAGAGAGCGAUAAGGUUGCCCCUGAGCCUCCUCUUCUCCAGGCUGAACAAUCCCAGCUCCCUCAGCCGCUCCUCGUAAGACUUGUUCUCCAAACCCCUCACCAGCUUUGUUGCCCUUCACUGGACACACUCUUGAGCACCUAAAUGUCAUUCUUGUAGCGAGGGGCCCAAAACUGAACACAGUACUUGAGGUGCGGCCUCACCAGAGCUGAGUACAGGGGGACAAUCACUUCCCUAGCCCUCCUGGGCAGGAUGCUGUUGGCCUUCUUGGCCACCUGAGCACACUGCUGGCUCAUAUUCAGCUGACUAUCAACCAGUACUCCCAGGUCCUUCUCCACAA